rnacentral:rRNA from 1 species
UACGGGGGGAGCAAGCGUUGUUCGGAUUUACUGGGCGUAAAGGGCGCGUAGGCGGCACCGCAAGUCGACUGUGAAAUCUCCGGGCUUAACUCGGAAAGGUCAGCCGAUACUGCGGGGCUAGAGUGCAGAAGGGGCAACUGGAAUUCUCGGUGUAGCGGUGAAAUGCGUAGAUAUCGAGAGGAACACCUGCGGCGAAGGCGGGUUGCUGGGCUGACACUGACGCUGAUGCGCGAAAGCUAGGGGAGCGAACAGG